rnacentral:snRNA from 1 species
GGAUGUGAAGGCAAUCUGGCUGCAACAUCUGUCACCCCACUGAUCACCAGGAUUGAUCCGGCUAAUCUGGCUGGUUAUACAGGUGUCCCCUUCCUCCCUUACUGUCCCAUGUGUGUCUCUGCCUCAAGUUGUGUGCUUGGUCGAAGGGAAUAACCUUCCCCAAAUAGAGAGAGAUCAGUCUUUGGUGGUGGUGGGGGGGGUAUCUGAGCAGCUGCACUACCCUGCUAGAACCUCCAAACAAGUUCUCAAGAUCCAUAAAAGGACUCUUAAAACUCAGUAAUAGUAACUGAAAGAAAA